UGGAACCUGGGAUUCAAGCCGCCAGGCAAAGUGCCCUAGCAGGGACUCUGGCUUAGUGAGAGUCUCUGUUUCCCCCUUUUCUUUCUUUCCACCCAAUAAAACCGGGUCUUACUCAUCAUUCAAAUUGUCUGCGAGCCUGAAUUUUUGUGGCCGUGGGACAAAGAACCCCGUCUUUAACGGAACUAAGGAAAAGCCCUGCAACAAUUUUGGCGCGCAACGUGGGGACUUGAGAAGCGGUUGAACUCUUUUGUGUCAACUAAAAGAACAUAUGAACAUAGCAGGGCUGUCAAGAUAAGGCCACAAGCUUGCCGAGUUGGGGACCUUUGAAAUACAAAUAUAAUUACACUAAGGAUCUUCAGAUGACGACGUCAUCCUGGAUUAUCUGGUCCUAAAUUCAGCUACAGUAAUCCUUAUAAGAAUAAGGCACUCCAGCCUGGGCGACAGAGCGAGACUGUCUCAGAAAAAAAAAAGAAUAAGGAAGAAGGAGAUUAGACACAGAGAAGAGAAGGAGACAACGUGACUAUGAAGGUGGAGAUUGGUGUGAUGCUUUCAGAAGUCAAGAAAUCAAGAAACACAACAGCCACCAGAAGCUGGAAAGAUAAAAGCAGAUCUUCCCCCAGAGCCUUCAGAAGAAACAUGGCCUUGGCAACCCCUUAAUUUUGGACUUCUGGACAACAGAACUGUGAGAGAAUAAUUUCUUGUUGUUUUAAGCCACCCAGUGUGUGGUAAUUUGUUACAACCAUCUCAGGAAACCCAGGAAACAGAGUAUAAAAUAAUUUCUUUUUUAAAAUAGUGGCUAAAGAUUUGGGCCCACAAAAUUUAUCAGAGCAUCACUGCAACCCUGGCCUGAGAAGGUAUCUUAAAAGCUAAGUAUCUAAUAAGAAAGCACCUUUUAACUUUAAUUAUUCCACCCAUUUGAAUAGAAUCCAGACAGUUUUGUUUCAUAUCACAUGCUAUUCCAUAUAUGGAAAAAUUCCCCUUAUGUAUUAAAUGAAAAGAAAGCAAGCCAAAA
rnacentral:lncRNA from 10 species